rnacentral:rRNA from 1 species
UACAGGGGGGUGCAAGCGUUGUUCGGAAUUACUGGGCGUAAAGCGUGCGUAGACGGUAGCGUAAGUCGGGUGUGAAAGCCCCGGGCUCAACCUGGGAAUUGCAUUCGAGACUGCUCUGCUAGGGUGCGGAAGAGGGGAGCGGAAUUUCCGGUGUAGCGGUGAAAUGCGUAGAGAUGCGGAGGAACACCGAUGGCGAAGGCAGCCCCCCUGGGCUAACACUGACGCUCAGGCACGAAAGCGUGGGGGAGCAAACAGG